GAACGGUCCGAGUCGACUCGCUAAGGUUACGGCGAGUCGAGUCGAACCCUGACC
rnacentral:pre_miRNA from 1 species